UACGGAGGAUGCGAGCGUUAUCCGGAUUUAUUGGGUUUAAAGGGUGCGUAGGCGGGACUGUAAGUCAGGGGUGAAAUACUGCAGCUUAACUGUAGCAUUGCCUUUGAAACUGCCGUUCUUGAGUACAGUUGAGGUAGGCGGAAUGUGGUGUGUAGCGGUGAAAUGCAUAGAUAUACCACAGAACGCCGAUUGCGAAGGCAGCUUACUAAGCUGUUACUGACGCUGAGGCACGAAAGCGUGGGGAUCAAACAGGAUUAGAUA
rnacentral:rRNA from 1 species